UUAGAGUUUGAUCCUGGCUCAGGAUGAACGCUAGCGACAGGCCUAACACAUGCAAGUCGAGGGGCAGCGCGGUGUAGCAAUACAUUGGCGGCGACCGGCGCACGGGUGAGUAACGCGUAUGCAACCAACCUGCAAUAGGGGGAUAACCCGGAGAAAUCCGGACUAAUACCGCAUAAGACCACGGGACCGCAUGGUCCAGGGGUCAAAUAUUUAUAGAUUGCAGACGGGCAUGCGUCUGAUUAGCUAGUCGGCGGGGUAACGGCCCACCGAGGCGACGAUCAGUAGGGGUUCUGAGAGGAAAAUCCCCCACAUUGGUACUGAGACACGGUCCAAACUCCUACGGGAGGCAGCAGUGAGGAAUAUUGGUCAAUGGGCGAGAGCCUGAACCAGCCAUGUCGCGUGGAGGAAUAAGGAUCUAUGGUUCGUAAACUCCUUUUGCGGGGGGAUAAAGUGCGGGACGUGUCCCGCUUUGCAGGUACCCCGCGAAUAAGCAUCGGCUAACUCCGUGCCAGCAGCCGCGGUAAUACGGAGGAUGCGAGCGUUAUCCGGAUUUAUUGGGUUUAAAGGGUGCGUAGGCGGCCCCUUAAGUCGGCGGUGAAAUUUCCGGGCUCAACCCGGUCACUGCCGUCGAAACUGGGGGGCUUGAGUGCGUUUGGGGUGGCUGGAAUGUGCGGUGUAGCGGUGAAAUGCAUAGAUAUCGCACAGAACGCCGAUCGCGGAGGCAGGUCACCAAGCCGCAACUGACGCUGAGGCACGAAAGCGCGGGGAUCGAACAGGAUUAGAUACCCUGGUAGUCCGCGCAGUAAACGAUGGACGCUCGCCGUUCGGCAUAGCGCCGAGUGGCCAAGCGAAAGCGAUAAGCGUCCCACCUGGGGAGUACGCCGGCAACGGUGAAACUCAAAGGAAUUGACGGGGGCCCGGCACAAGCGGAGGAACAUGGGGUUUAAUUCGAUGAUACGCGAGGAACCUUACCCGGGCUUGAAAGUUAGCGACGGACCUGGAAACAGGUCUUCCCUUCGGGGCGCGAAACUAGGUGCUGCAUGGUUGUCGUCAGCUCGUGCCGUGAGGUGUCGGCUUAAGUGCCAUAACGAGCGCAACCCCUGCCGCCAGUUGCCAGCGAGUUAAGUUGGGGACUCUGGCGGGACUGCCACCGCAAGGUGCGAGGAAGGCGGGGAUGACGUCAAAUCAGCACGGCCCUUACGUCCGGGGCGACACACGUGUUACAAUGGGGGGUACAGAGGGCAGCGACCUGGCGACAGGGAGCGAAUCUCAGAAAGCCCCUCUCAGUUCGGAUAGGAGUCUGCAACUCGACUCCGUGAAGCUGGAUUCGCUAGUAAUCGCGCAUCAGCCAUGGCGCGGUGAAUACAAUGGCCGGGCCUUGCACUCACCGCCCGUCA
rnacentral:rRNA from 1 species